UGAGAGGUCAUGGAGUCCUGAAGCUUUAACAUAUAGAAAUCUGCAGCAUGGAGCGGGUGAGAGAUCUGGGAUUACUCCCCUACCUAGGCCUGCUUGGAGCCAUCGUCUCAUAUCAAAUCCCUCAGAUCUCCCACUGCAACUCACACACAGAGACCAAGAAAAGCACAAUCCCAUCCAUCUGUCCCCCUCCCUCCCUUCCCCUCCCGGGAAUCCCCUCACAAGCCGCAACCCUAGCUCCACUCUAGUCUCUAUAAAUAGCGCGCCCUGUAAAGGAGCUCAUCCUUAUUACAGGGAGCGCGGCCGGCAGCUGUGGAUCGAAGAUCCAUCGAUCGAUGCCCAGCUUGCAGAGCAGGAGAGCCGUAGUCUAGUCAUGUGUGCUUAUCAAAGGGCGGCUUACUGGGAGUUCCUUGGCAUUCUGUCCACCUCCUUGCCGAUCUUGCAGAAAGCCUCUCAAAUCUGUUUGUGUUUUUUUGGAGGUGGGCAUACUGCCAAUGGAGCUGUGUAGGCCUCCCUUUGUAAAGCCCACAUGACACGAAUCAGAGCUUCCUCCCUAGAUUUGAUCAUCACUUGUGUCAGAAACGCCUUCAUUAAGCUUGCUUUGCUGCCUUUUCUUGCGUGUUCAUUUGUUGGGCCUUUUGAUGCCCUCUUGUUUUCUUUGCUGGGGUUAAGGUUCAUCAUGGUCCAUGAUAUGCUUUUGGGGAAAGUUUUGGAGCGAGCUAUCUACAUAUGGUAGUCUGAUCUGCUCUAUUGCCGACCUAAUUUAGUCUGCUUCCUUGAAGCCGGCCGGCCAUGGUGUUGGGGAAGUGAAGAUGGUUUUACCCCUUCCUCAUGCCAUUCUUUUGGAUCCGUCGUUUUUGGCGCUAAUCGUUCGUUUUGCGGCCAAGUUUUACGGAAGGCCAACCCCGUAGUUCUUGGCUUCUUUCUUGCUGGUUUUGCAUGCAGGUCUGUUCUUCGAUCUUUGAUGGAGGUCAUCUCUGCAACAUCUGACUAUGAGGCCAGGCAAUGAGAAGCUCAUGAUGUCAAGACGGACUGUGUAAUAAAUCUAUUUUACUGGCUCAUGCGAGCAGUGGCGAAGGUGUGGGUGCAUCGAGUUAAGCUGUGGGGUGCAUAUAUGGUGAGAAAAAUAUAUUUUAUCACUGUUUUUCCAUUUUUUUUCGUUGGUGAAUCGGCACCCACUACCCAUAACUUGGCAUCGCCCCUGCAUGUAAGGUUGUUCUACGAAUUAGUUAUUUUAGCAGAAUAUGAGGAAAGAAACAAGUGGGUCAGAGGCUUGACACUCUGCACUAAAUUGACACCUCGAGCAUAUAUGUGAUACAUCUUUUUUAUUAAAAAACACUGUAUACUGUCAAUCAAGUAAAAAAUCUAUGUGACUUUGAUUUUAAAUACAUUAUUGUGUGUUUUGAAACUUUGGUUGAUAGUUUUCUUUUGUCUACAUCAGGUUUGUGUCCUGAACCCUGACUAUUAAUGCAUGUUCAUAUGAUGUUGAUUUUUGAAUCAUCAUUAUUAUUCUAUGUCCUUUGUUGGAAAUGGGGUAACAUUGAAGUUUCUAGUAUGCUGAUAAUUAAAGGACACGUUAUAUUCGUGUAUUAAAGUGUGUUUUCUAA